CCUACGGGUGGCAGCAGUAGGGAAUCUUCCACAAUGGACGAAAGUCUGAUGGAGCAACGCCGCGUGUGUGAUGAAGGGUUUCGGCUCGUAAAACACUGUUAUAAGAGAAGAACGUCAGUGAGAGUAACUGUUCAUUGAGUGACGGUAUCUUAUCAGAAAGGGACGGCUAAAUACGUGCCAGCAGCCGCGGUAAUACGUAUGUCCCAAGCGUUAUCCGGAUUUAUUGGGCGUAAAGCGAGCGCAGGCGGUUAUUUAAGUCU
rnacentral:rRNA from 1 species